GACCCCUUCGUCUAGCGGUCUAGGACAUCGCCCUCUCAAGGCGAAAACACGGGUUCGAUUCCCGUAGGGGUCGCCA
rnacentral:tRNA from 1 species